CGCGUAGGCGGUCGAGUAAGUCGGAUGUGAAAUCCCCUGGCUUAACCUGGGAAUUGCAUUCGAUACUGCUUGGCUAGAGUGUGGAAGAGGGAAGCGGAAUUUCCGGUGUAGCGGUGAAAUGCGUAGAUAUCGGAAGGAACACCAGUGGCGAAGGCGGCUUCCUGGUCCAACACUGACGCUGAGGCGCGAAAGCGUGGGGAGCAAACAGGAUUAGAUACCCUGGUAGUCCACGCUGUAAACGAUGAGAACUAGAUGUUGGGGGGUAUAACCCCUCAGUGUCGCAGCUAACGCGUUAAGUUCUCCGCCUGGGGAGUACGGCCGCAAGGUUGAA
rnacentral:rRNA from 1 species